rnacentral:tRNA from 1 species
UGGGGCGUAGCCAAGCGGCAAGGCAGCGGACUUUGGAUCCGCCAUCCGUAGGUUCGAAUCCUACCGCCCCAGCCA